rnacentral:rRNA from 1 species
CAAUAGCGUAUAUUAAAGUUGUUGCAGUUAAAAAGCUCGUAGUUGGAUUUCGGGACGGGCCAGUUGGUCCGCCGCAAGGUGUGUUACUGACUGGUCUGUUCUUCUUCGCAAAGACUGCGUGUGCUCUUCGUUGAGUGUGCGUAGGAUUUACGACGUUUACUUUGAAAAAAUUAGAGUGUUCAAAGCAGGCUAUCGCUUGAAUACAUGAGCAUGGAAUAAUGGAAUAGGACUUUGGUCCUAUUUUGUUGGUUUCUAGGACCGAAGUAAUGAUUAAGAGGGACAAUUGGGGGCAUCCGUAUUUCGUUGUCAGAGGUGAAAUUCUUGGAUUUACUAAAGACGAACAACUGCGAAAGCACUUGCCAAGAGUGUUUUCAUUAA